CCUACGGGAGGCAGCAGUGGGGAAUAUUGCACAAUGGGGGAAACCCUGAUGCAGCGACGCCGCGUGAGUGAAGAAGUAAUUCGUUAUGUAAAGCUCUAUCAGCAGGGAAGAAAAUGACGGUACCUGAGUAAGAAGCCCCGGCUAACUACGUGCCAGCAGCCGCGGUAAUACGUAGGGGGCAAGCGGUAACCGGAUUUACUGGGUGGAAAGGGAGCGUAGACGGCAGUGCAAGUCUGGAGUGAAAGGCGGGGGCUCAACCCCCGGACGGCUCUGGAAACUGUACGGCUGGAGUGCAGGAGAGGUAAGUGGAAUUCCUAGUGUAGCGGUGAAAUGCGUAGAUAUUAGGAGGAACACCAGUGGCGAAGGCGGCUUACUGGACUGUAACUGACGUUGAGGCUCGAAAGCGUGGGGAGCAAACAGGAUUAGAUACCCCUGUAGUC
rnacentral:rRNA from 1 species